CUCUUAUUAAGAGAGGCCGAGGGAACUGGCCCUAUGACGCCCAGCAACCAAGCUUUUGCUAAGGUGCUAAGUCCAGCAGCAUUGUCUGAAAAAUGAGAG
rnacentral:ncRNA from 2 species